CUCUGCCGAGCGGUGGAGGCUGUGUGCUGUUUUUCAAUCGCCCAAACAGGACGAGACCAGCUGUCCAAUUGCUGACAAAAAUAUCAAAGGGUAGGAAUGGGAAUGUAUCCAAUCAGCGUCGACGUUGUUUCAGAACGUUUCAGAAGCAUCAUGGGCGAUGGAGCUACAGCCAAAGGAUUGUUGGUGUUCGGUAGAACUCGGCAGAGUCGUUUUUGGUCGUGACGCAGAUGUAACAUGGACGCCGCCGGUGACUACAACCAGCAUGGAUACCGGAUCUCAGCAGCCACUGAAUUCAGUUCGGUCUCCUCUCCAGUAUCCGUUCGAGAGGAGAACUAUGGUGGAAAAACUUAAUGUCAAAGAGCUUGGACCAGAUCAGCCCAACGUAAAGAUAAGCCAGCAGGAGAAGGAGAGAGAUAAGGCAUGGAUGAGUCAGGAGUUACGGACAUGAAACAUUUUUCUGAGAAGGUGAAGAAACACGAGUCAUCCCGGGCACACAUGGACAACAACACGGUGAAGCUAGCCAUGCUAGGCAGCAGAGCUAACGUUGCCAUGCAGGGAACAACAGCAGCUGGGUGCAGAGGUAAGCUGUACAUUACAUUUCUGUGAACAAGACAAUCAGAAUCAGAAAUCCUUGGUUGUCCCACAAACCGGGACAUUUGUUUAAUAACAUGUUUAAUGUGCAAUAACUGUAAAAACUAAUUUCAACACACAUACUUAUUAUACAUAUUUAAUCACGUAAAUGUGUAUUUCAUGUAAAUUUGUACAUACAUCAAUCUGAUUCCAUUUUACUUGUUACACUUCUGCUGCAGCAAACAAAUGUCCCAGCUUUUGGGACAAUUAAACAUUUCUGAUUCUCAAUUAGAUGUUUUUACCUCAAAUGUAAAAACAUCUGAUUGAGAAUCAGAAAUGUUUUAUUGUCCCAAAAACUGGGAAAUAUGACAUUUGUAAGAGGAUACUGAUGACAUUAUUUCCUAUGAAAGUGUUUCCUAUGUACUUAUCUGUUGUUUUUUAUUUAUCAUAUGACAGGUUUUUCACACCAUCCUGAGCCAUGCAAAAGAAGAUUCUUGUCACCACACCCAUGACCACAGCCGAAUCAGAAAGGUGCUUUUCUACUUUAAAGAGGAUUAAGACUUUCCUUGAGGAACACCAUGACACAGGAUGGGCUGAAUGCUCUUGCCAUGCUCUCCAUGGAAAAAAAAGCUUGUCACAAACAUUCCUGACUUCAAUAAAAAGCUAAUCGAGAGCUUUGCCACUCAGAAGGACAGAAGGGCAAAAUUUCUGUACAAAUGAGGUAUCACACACACACACACACACACACACACACACACACACACACACACACACACACACACACAUACACACACACACACACACACACACACACACACACACACACACACACACACACACACACAAAUGCAUCCUCUUGAUCUUUGUAUAAAGUUGACCUUGGCACAACACUCCAGAAAUAUUUAACAGUGUACAUUUCUGGCAUUUUGUCUAAGUAGUGUUUACUACCAUUACUGUAACAGUGACCUGCUCAUAAUUUUUGGUGUUCACUCAAAUGUUGAAAUUAAACAAAAUGUUUUUGUUA